rnacentral:rRNA from 1 species
AACGAACGCUGGCGGCAUGCCUAACACAUGCAAGUCAAACGAAGGCUUCGGCCUUAGUGGCGCACGGGUGCGUAACGCGUGGGAAUCUGCCCUUUGGUUCGGAAUAACAGCUGGAAACGGCUGCUAAUACCGGAUGAUGACGAAAGUCCAAAGAUUUAUCGCCAGAGGAUGAGCCCGCGUUGGAUUAGGUAGUUGGUGGGGUAAAGGCCUACCAAGCCGACGAUCCAUAGCUGGUCUGAGAGGAUGAUCAGCCACACUGGGACUGAGACACGGCCCAGACUCCUACGGGAGGCAGCAGUGGGGAAUAUUGGACAAUGGGCGCAAGCCUGAUCCAGCAAUGCCGCGUGAGUGAUGAAGGCCCUAGGGUUGUAAAGCUCUUUUACCCGGGAAGAUAAUGACUGUACCGGGAGAAUAAGCCCCGGCUAACUCCGUG